CUGAUUGUUAGUGGGGAAGGGUCUCUUUCUGGAGAUUCCUCCUUUUGGAGUUUUCUACUGCAAGCCCAGGAUGUGGAAUUACACUUCUGCAUUUUCUCCUGGUGCCACUCUGCAUUUCUGGAACUUGGCAGCUCCUUCUACUUGCUGACACCUGCAAUGCUUGGCCCCUGAUUGGCAGGCACUGAGCACCUUCCCAGUUCUUCACUGAAGAAUGAGGAACUGAACCACCUCUCAUAUCUGAAAAAGUACCACGGAUACAUAUGGCUCCCUUGACUUCAUCUGUAUUUAUGGCUGCCCAGCAUCUCGAAAAAACCAACCGCUACAGUGGCGUUUAUGUCUUGUAGACAAAAGCCAGAGAACUCCAGGCUGUUUAGCCCCCUCCAGGAGAUCAUAAAUGCAGAACAGCAUCUGUGGGUAAUCAUGUCCUUUUUUCCUGAGUAGCCAUACAUGUGCUGCUGCUUGAACUGGAAGAAAUGUGAAGAGAACAGAAUCAGCUACCCUCUGAAUCCUUUUUCAAACAAACAUUUCAAAAACAGACAAUUAUGUUUUAUUUCUUGUUGCAGAGGAAAUAAAACUCUUCCAAUAUGAAGAACAGAAUAUAAACUCACUGGUGGUGAUGGGGGGAAAUUCCUCAGCAGUCUCUUUCAGAAAAAAAUAAAGGAAGAAAAGGAAAAGCAAGAAAGAGAGAAAAGAAGAGAAAAAGCAAAAGAAAAAAAAGAGAGAAAAAGAGAGGAGGAAAGAGAGAGAGAAAGAAGAAAAGAAAAAGAGACAACAAGAAAGAGAGAGAAGGAAAGAGAAAGAAGACAGGAAAGAGAAAGGAAGGAAGAACUCAAAGCCAGCGUCAAAUGCAGGUCUCCAAAGCAUAUGUUGAUUUUACUCUACAAAGUCACUUUUAAUCCCCUAGUCCCUCGUUUCUACUCCCCAAGAGGAAUCAAACCGAACAGAGAACAGCUUACAUUGUCAAGACCUGGGAGCUCGUUGUAAGAAUAACUAGUUCUUGACAUUUGAAAUUACUCUGGUUCAAACAUUUUUUGAUCUUUCCUAUUAGCCCUGUGUCUCGAGAAAUAAAAAUAUGAUAAUCAGAAAGUACAUAAUUGGGUUCAGGGAAUUCUGUGGACCCUCACUGGCUCUGGAGAUAAAGGCACUUUGAAAGAUUAUGCAGAGAUACCUAGAAUUUAUUCUGCACAGACUAUGAAAUGACAGAUCUUUUUUCUUAAUUAUACUGGCUAUAUCAGACUAACACCUGUAAUUAACCAUUCUGUCCUGAGAAAUCUCUUUUGAUAUGCUUUAUUGUUCCACCAGAGAUAUGGCAAAGCAGCACAUGAAUAUAAGGAUAUUUAUUACUGCAAACUCGAAGGCUAAUGCUUGUCACCAUGCUGAUUCUUGGUCUCCACCACAUCUCCACCACCCCUGGGCUUUGAGGCACUAUCCAUAGGAGAUGCUGCUGCACUUUGAAGCAGUACGGACUGGAAGCUGCAGGUUUACAAGGUACUGGACCCAACUACAUGUGCAUUAGCCAGCCCAUGCAACUUCUAAUAAGACAUUUUUGGGAGGGUCAGUCAUGUGCACUCUACAGCUCUCAGCACUGCCACUUGAAAGCCGCUCCCGUUCCCGGCUGCCCACCCACCACCAGCUCCUCUUCAGACCUCUACGAGUACCCUUGCUGCUGCAAUGAAUCACGCUACAGAGGGCUUUCCACCAGCCAGGUUUAUUGAGCUUUAUUAUAGGAAAAUAUAUCUCAGAUGGCCCAGCUGCAGCCAAAACAAUCUGUCACUUUUAAUUCUUUCUGUCACCUCAUUUGGAGUACAGCUAGAAUGACAGUAAAAAAUAAAUAAAUAAAGAAAUAAAAAACAAAGCAAGAACAACAACAACAAAAUAAUAGCUACAGCAAAACCCAAAAUACAUUUCCUCAGCUCCUGAUUAGAUUUUAACAUAAACACCAACACCAAAAGAUUCAUUGACAAAACAUAUGUGACUCAGUGUCGUAUACAACAGAGUGACAUGUAGAAUGGUCUCAGUAGGCAUAUAAAGCAAUUAAAAAUAACUGUGCUUCAAAGCAUUGUAUUAUAGCAUAAAAGGUCAUCCCUAUAAACACGGAAAGGAUGAUUGUGUUUUUUCCAGCAAACAGGCAAACAAAUGCUUAACUAGAGGUUCCAUUCUCACAAGGGAUUCUUUAAAAAUCUCUGAAAAUAUGAUAUAUCCUGUAUCAUUCUCCCUCAGUCUACGUCUGAAAGUAGUUAAUAUUUUAAAUGAAUGUAAUCGGAAAUAAUAUCAAGGCUAAUGACACGUUAGAAAACAAUACUGUACUAAACACAAAAUAUUUGCCCUGUGCAUACAUACGACAGAAAAGGAAACCCUGGAUAAUCAUCUGUGAAAAUGAAACGUCUAUUUUUAACUCCUAAAGCUUGCUUGUUUUCAUAUUAAUGCAUCGAAGUUGUAUUCCAAUGGAAGCUGCAUAGAGUACAUUUUGAGGAUUCUGAUAAUUUUUGCAGUAACACUCUGAGUUUGUGAUAAUAAUAUUUAUGCACAGAUGUAAGGAAUGUGCUGACAGAUUAAAAAGGAGUCAGUCAGUGUUUGCACGGCAUU